UCCAAGGGCUAUAGCACGUUUAAUGCAAUAGUUCCUAAUGGAUCACUCACGUUAAGCAACGUUGCACAUACUUGAUAUCUGGAUGGCUGACCACCUGGGGGUUUUUCCAACUGAUUUGC
rnacentral:rRNA from 1 species